GACAGAGGCCCCGAGCGUUAGGCGGAAUCACUGGGCUUAAAGCGUGUGUAGGCGGGCCCGUAAGUGUCUUGUGAAAUCCCUGGGCUCAACCCAGGAACUGCAUUUGAAACUCCCUUUCUUGAGUGUCGGAGAGGAAAGCGGAAUUCCUGGUGUAGAGGUGAAAUUCGUAGAUAUCAGGAGGAACACCGGUGGCGAAGGCGGCUUUCUGGACGACAACUGACGCUGAGACGCGAAAGCGUGGGGAGCAAACAGG
rnacentral:rRNA from 1 species